AAUAAAUUUUUUAUAGUUUAUAAAUUUAUUAUAAAUUUAUUUUGCAUAUAAAUUUUAGUGUUGAUUUUUCAUUAUUUUAAUAAUUUUUGAAUUUUAAAAUAUAUAGCAAUUAAUAUUAAAAAUUUAAGAAAUUAAGAUUUAGUAAUAUUUAAAUUAAUAACAAAUUUUGUGCCAGCAGUUGCGGUUAUACAAAAAUUAAAUUAAAUUUUAUUAGUAAUUAAUUUAUAAAAAUUUUAUUUAAUUAAAUAUUAAAUUAAUAGGUGAAAUUUUUAUUUAAUUUAAUUUAAUUUAAUUUUAUAAUUUAAUAAAUUUAUAUUAUAAACUAGGAUUAGAUACCCUAUUAUUAAAAAUUUAAAUUUAAAAUACUAAAAUAGUAUAUAAUUAUUUUUGAAACUUAAAUAAUUUGGCGGUAUUUUAGUUCAUUUAGAGGAAUCUGUUUAUUAAUUGAUAAUCCACGAAUGAAUUUACUUAAUUUAAAAUUUUGUAUAUCGUUGUUAAAAAAAUAUUUUUGAAUGAAAAUAAUAUUUUAAUUUUAUAACUAAAAAUUAAAUCAGAUCAAGAUGCAGAUUAUAAUUAAGAAUAUAAUGGAUUACAAUAAAUUUAUUUAAAUGAAUUUUUUUUUUGUAAUAAAAAUUUGAAAGUGGAUUUAAAUGUAAUUUUAUUUAUUUUAAUAAAAUGAUUAUAUAUUAAAAUAUGUACAUAUUGCCCGUCGCUUUCAUAAAUAAAUUGGAAUAAGUCGUAACAAAGUAGAGGUACUGGAAAGUGUUUCUAGAAAUAA
rnacentral:ncRNA from 1 species